GAGUAGAGUAGGUCCCCACUAAUGCAUUGAAUCCCAUCAGAACUCCGAAGUUAAGCGUGCUUGGGUGAGAGUAAUACUAGGAUGGGUGACCUCCUGGGAAGUCCUCGUGUUGCACCCC
rnacentral:rRNA from 1 species